rnacentral:rRNA from 1 species
AGCGAACGCUGGCGGCAGGCCUAACACAUGCAAGUCGAACGGACCCUUCGGGGUUAGUGGCGGACGGGUGAGUAACACGUGGGAACGUGCCUUUAGGUUCGGAAUAGCUCCUGGAAACGGGUGGUAAUACCGAAUGUGCCCUUCGGGGGAAAGAUUUAUCGCCUUUAGAGCGGCCCGCGUCUGAUUAGCUUGUUGGUGAG